UUUCAGCGCCUCUUCUGUUGUUUAAUUAUUUUGUGAACCCUAAAAAGUACUAAAUAAGUGCAGAGGAGGCACGGUUAUUGUUCGAUACUCCUCAAUAGUACAGCAAAAUGCAAAGUCCUAAUACAAAAACAAACAAAAAAAAGGAGGUCAGUUUCGCAAUACGAGCAACGAAUGCACCGAGCUUAAAGAAAACACCAUCCAUCGACUUAAUAAGUCGAUAUAAGCAAAUAGUGACAGCCACAGCGAAAGCAAAGCCAGUAACUACACAAUCAGCAAUACUGGACACAGGUCCAAGCACAAGUAGAGAUGCACUAGCCCGGAAGUCAACUACGAUUCAACCCCCAGAAAUGGUCCCGAUUGGAAGCACAGCUACUGCUAGCUCGGGUACCGAGGGAUGGCCGCUUGAGUGGGUGGUAGACUCAGCGAAUGCGAGCUACCAGGAUCACAGAAACACCACAAGGCACCUAAGGAGGGUGUACGAAAGAGCUAUUGAAAGAGUGAAAGAGUCUCUCUUUAAUUAUAACAUUCCUGAUUUCAACCUCAACUUUAAACCAGCACAACCUGUUUCAAAACGACAACGGCCUUUGGAAGAAAAUAAGCCAAACGUAAAAAGGCACAAAACAAUUGGCGUGACGCCCAGAAAAUCAUUUGCGGAGAUUGCAAAAGACUUCAUUAUUAUAGGAGUUCUGGACGAAAAUCAUCCUCUAGGUAUGAUCUCCAAGGCCCAAUGGAAACGGGUUGUGGCCGAGCUCACGAAAGUGGCACUGAAAGUUAUUCUGCAUAACCCCGGCCCCCCGCCUUCGUGCGAAGAUUUAGGCUGGCACCAAGGCCAGAUAAAAAUAAUAGCGUGUGACGAUGAGAGAUCGGUUCAGCUGUACAAAAAGGCCAUCUCAAAAGUCGGCGAAGUGUACAAGAAUGCCAAGCUGGUGGUCGUGGACAGGAAGGAUAUUCCGUCCAGGCCGCGAGCAAGGGUCUGGUUGCCUUCAACUGUCGAAGACCCGGUAGAGAUAAUGGAGCUUAUUCGGGUCUGCAAUCCGGACAUCCCAACGCAGGAGUGGAUAUACGUAAAAACAUUAAGUAACAAGAACAGCGCGGGAGAAUCGAAAGAAGAGAAUCGCGCCGCUAUGCAGACUCACCUGCUUCUGACUGAAAACUCAAUUGCACCGUUAGCGAAAUGCGAUUGGCAAUUGAGAUACGGUUUUGUAAGAGUACAGCUUCACAUCUGCAAAACUGAUAUAGAGUUCCUCACCACUAAGGAAAGUUCAGAGCCCAUGAGCGAAUUAGAACCCAUGAGCGAAACUGAGCCGAUGAGCGAAGACGAUCAUCCCACCGAAGAAGAAUACGCCUCUUCAGGCUCAGAAAUGGGCGGUUGGAGGGGAGAGUAAGUAUUCCGUACAACAGCGUAAGUAUUCCGAAAGGGAACUUUUAAAGAAGACCCAGACAUAACGUUAACAGCUGAUGCAUCUUCUUCAGAUAAACUUAGACCAUUGUAAGGAAGCAUGCCUUGCCCUCCUGGAUUGUCUGGCAGAAGAUCGGCCGGAUGUAGUCCUCAUCCAGGAGCCCUGGGUACGGAAUGGCGAAAUCUGCGUCUUGAGGACAUCAGGUUGCAAGGUAUAUAAGAACAAUUGUGAAGUAACACAGAUACUACGACGGUUAGCUGGGAAGUGACCGGAAGCAACACCUGGCUAACCUCGUUUUACUAUGCUGGAUACGACACCGGUCCACUGCCGUCGCCGCUAAUAAGAAAUCUUGUGGAAGACUGCAAACACACAAUCAUGAAUUAGUUCUAGGAGGUGACGCCAAUGCCCACCAUACCGUAUGAGGAAGCUCGGAUACCAGCGAAUGUGAUGUCGUUCAAAAUCGAGCCAUUGCCCAACUCUCACGCCCACCCCGGUGAAGGUCCUCACUGGGACGUCGAGUCACAGAAUCUCUACUAC